UAGGGAAUCUUCGGCAAUGGGGGCAACCCUGACCGAGCAACGCCGCGUGAGUGAAGAAGGUUUUCGGAUCGUAAAGCUCUGUUGUAAGAGAAGAACGUGUGUGAGAGUGGAAAGUUCACACAGUGACGGUAACUUACCAGAAAGGGACGGCUAACUACGUCCAG
rnacentral:rRNA from 1 species